GCCUGGGUGGCUCAGGGUUAAGCGUCUGACUUUGGCUCAGGUCAUGAUCUUACGGUUCGUGGGUUCAAGCCCCAUGUUGGGCU
rnacentral:tRNA from 1 species